rnacentral:tRNA from 1 species
GUGAGGAUGUGCUGCCCGGAUGCAGCCUAUCGGCUGUGACCCGGUAGAGGGAGUUCAAGUCUCCGCCUCACACCA